rnacentral:misc_RNA from 1 species
UCCUUCUUUUUCGGGCAUAAUGUAUAUAUAGGGGGGUAUAGUGGGUUGAGAUGAAUGAUGCUUGCAUGGCAUGCUACAGCCCCCCCUUGGUGGCAUGCUAAUGACAAGCAUCCGGCCCGAUUUCUAGGUGUACGUCGGAUCGAUGUCGUGUGGCCCGUUGCGGUUUCGUGUUGGUUUGCUGAUCGUCGAAGCUCGUCCCGUCGCGGUGCAGUAACCUGCCUCGAGCCUCGUGUCCCGUGGACACAUGUGGCAUGGGGGAGGAGAAGAUCUCGACGGGAUUGGCCAAUACGUUGACGCGGCUUGGACGGAGUCUGCUAUCGUGUCAUGCGAUGUCGGUGUUUANGAGUUUCUCGUACCGUUCGGUGCAUUUCGGGAGCUUCUUCGUGCUUGUGGUUGUUUGCUUGGCUUUCGUGCUGGGUUUGUGGCUACUUGUGCGGGUUGUUUCGGGGAAUGUUUAUCGUAAAGGUGCAUGAGUGGCGUUUGGCGUGUUGCUGGUGGUUGGAUGACUGCAUUCGCAGCAACGUCCACCGGGGCAUGCCUCUUCAUUUACGGCGAACGGUUGCUUGUCAACCGGGAGCAUUUGUCGGGUUUUCCUGUGCUGCGUACCUACUUUAGGGCAUGGCGUUGGUUGGUUAAUGUGGAUUUUCGUUCCACGUCGCUCGCGUGGCGUGGGACGAACUAGAACUGGCCUCCAUGAUGAUCCAUGUCUUUGACGCAUUGCGUCUUUGGCAUGGCCCAUUGUGCGUGGCUUGGUUUCCUGGAUACGGAACCUUAUGUGGGCAUGGGGUUGCUUGCGACCCCGAUUUUGCCCUCGUCAAGCGUUCUUGCCCAUAGAAAACAACACGCGGUAGUGAGUCGACUGUUUG